rnacentral:lncRNA from 1 species
AUGUGACGACUUCAGAGGAAGGGCAGCAGCUGUGGAUGGCAUAAGGGGCAGAGCUUUUUCACAUACCUGAUACCUGGCUGAUUCUGGACUCUUCAGAGUCAGUCUGCAGAGGACAUGCCCUACCACACCCAGUACCAGGCUGCCCAAGGCUUCUCUCUCUGGACCUCACAACACCUCAGUCAAACCUACACCUGUUACCAGAGCAUUCUUCCCCAAAAAGAAUAAGCCUUGCAUUUGGCAGUGUGCACGUGCCUACAUCUCCCCCACCCCCACUCCUCCAUAUCUGUCCCAGCCCCCCCUCCUGCUGUCAGCUGAGAUUGCCUGUAAGUGGGUGUGGUGACAGAUUGGGUGACUUGAGGUGUCAGAUCUCUGUCUUUGCAUGACUUAUUUUAUCUGAGAGAGGGAAUACCCAGAAGCCUUAAGGUGACAAAUUGAGUUGGUGACUGUAAGAGCUCUCGCCCACCAGAAAGUACAGCGGCUGAUGGCAUGCGCCCUUUGAACGCUAUCAUGCGGCUGUUUCAACUGAAGAGACACUUAGGGGCCGCCAGAUGAGGGAAUUUUGCUGGAGUAAGCCCCACCCACUUAUAUUCUUCCCACUGUCACGCUCCCCCCCCACACCUUGCUUUUCUUCCCAGGAGAAGAAUGCCCCAUGCCCCAUGCUGGAGAUUGUACCUCACAGCUGCCAGGGCCAGUUAUAGCCUCUGGGUGUCAUGAUUCACUUAUCAGUGUCCCCAGAUUGCAGCACAGGGCCUGGCCCAGACUCAGUGUUCACAGAUGUGUAAGGGACAGCUGCUUACGGAGGUGAUAGUGACUACCUUUAUUAAGUGCCUGCCACGUAUCAGGCAAUUUUGUAAUUAGCCCUUAACCUUCCCAGGAACCUCUGAGUAGAUUCUAGUUUGUGUUUUAGAUAUGAGUUCAACUAAGGCUCAGAGAAGUAAAGAAACUCUUCCAAGACCACACAGCUCGUAAAUGAUGAGCUGGGACUUGAGCCCCGUGCCCACCAACAUCUUCUCCUCACCACAUCCAUCUUCACAAGCAAGGGCUCUCAAGAGUGGCACAGCCACAGAGGCCCUGGAAGUCAUGACCCUCUUGGUACAGAAGACACCAGUGAGGUUUGCCGGGACCUGCGUCUGUUGGGUGUCUGCCUGCCUUUCAUAGCAAGAGCUGAGGAGGCCGGAAGAGUUGGUUGGAACCAGCAGGACUGGGGCAUAGCUCAGUGGAAGAGCGCACACUUAGCAGGCAGGAAGCUGGUGUUUGGCCCCUAGCACUGUUUGGCUUAGUUUCAUUUGGUUGGUGGGUAGGUCUGAGGCAUUAGCUUGCUUGAAAAGAGUUGGGGUAUGGUGGUGUGUGUUUGCAACCUCACAGCUGGGAGGCAGAAACAGCUGGCUCCUGGGGCCUCACUGGCCAGCCGGCUUGCUCAGCAUGUUCCCAACCAGAGAGAGACCCUGUCCUAAGAUAGAUGGCUCCUAGGGGUCUGGCACACGCGUGUGUGCAUGUUUCUGUACACACACACACACACACACACACACGGUUGGGGGGACAGAGUUUUACACUCAUCUAAGGUUAUAUAAGUUAAGAAAGGGCCACUUUGCUACCUGGACAGGGAACAGUCUCACACCCUCCUCCGAAUGGCUGGAUUCUCUCCUCUGCCUGCUUCUCUUCCCUGAACCAAGAGCUACAAGUGUGCACACCUUGGUCCCCUCCCGUACCAUCACUGUGAUGUGCAGGACAGAACAAAACCCAAAGCAGAAGCUCCAUGAUUCAGGGCUGGGAUGUGCAGGGGCCUUGGGAUCUGUCCCAUCUGGGGCAGCUGAGUGCAAAGGGGUCUUUUGGAGAGCUGUGUGCAGGGCAGGUGGACGGAAUGGGGCAGAAUGAGGGGGAAGGUCUCACACUCAGGUCUCUAAAGUCGGUUCUACAGGGUGAGAGGGAUAGGAAAGCAGGCAGUGGGCACCAUGGGAGGUGGGGUGGGGUUUUCAAUGAUGCGAAGCUUCUAACCUACCAACGUCUGUAAGCAGGGGUUUCAGAUAUCCUGAUUGCAGGAUAUUUGCUGUGGAAGGCCCUCAUAGAAAAACCAAGAAAACAAAUACAAUAGGCUUAGAAGUUCACCAUAUACAAGGAGAUGCACUGAAGGGCGGGACAAGGUGGUCUAAUAGGAAAAACAGGCCUGCAACCUCUCGAACCCAGGCUCGGUGAUGCCUGCUUUCUUAAUGGCUGCAUGACCUUGGACGAGCCGUCUUCUCCCCUUUGGCACAGUCACAGCACUGAGUGAGAAAGAAAGCAGAAGGAAACAGUGUCCCAGGGCAGGCUGUCGGUGCUCAACCAAGGUGCAGCUUUGUGGUAGGGUAGGAAUGGGUAUUUCAGUUAAGCGCCCUUUCCCUCAGACUGCCCUCCAGUUAGGGACCGAGGAUAAGAGGUCUAGAGGACAUGACAUGCUGAGUGGUAACCACCGCCCCUCCCCUCCUCCCAUCCCCAAACUCUCCCGAGCCCAAUCAUCAGCUUCCCUUCCCGACGGCCCCCACUCUGACUCUGCGACUUGGGUGUUCUCAUCUUCGGCUCCAGCCUGUCUGCCUCCGGCAGCAUAUGCUGAGACUCGGUUCAUUAUUUAUUUCCUCUGACGGUGCCUUUUCCACAAGCUCUGAAACCUCACUGCCUGCCUGAGGAAAGAUGCACAGUUCCUGGCAUUUGCAGUCACCUCACCGCCACCCCUCUCGUAGGUGAGAGAAACUGAGGCCCAGAGAUGUAAACUAGCCUUCCUGGCCAAAAUCACAGAGCUGGCUUCCACCCAGGAGUGUUUGCCCUGGCGCCUGCUUUCAGUCCCUUACCAGAGUGGAGGUGAUACAGGCUUUUUCACAGCAAGCCACUGAGGAGUAAACACAGGCUCAGAGGAGGAUGUUAGUCCUGGUAGAACACGAACUCCACUCUCUAGCCCAGACCUUCUGUGGCAUAAGCAAUCGAGGGCCACGGUUACAAUGUAAAGAAAUACAUCUUUUAAAGUUAGGCUAGGGUAUAAACUCCAGGACAGAACACUUGCCUGGCAUGCUUGAGGCCCAGGUGC